UUGCAGGUUAGGUUACAACAUAACUGUUUUGUGUUGUGUUGUCGUUCACCCUGCAGAAAUAAAACUUUAGUUCUUGGUUAUCUUUGCCUGUUUCUGUCCCAUAACAGGCAGGGAUGCUUGGUUUCUAACAG